rnacentral:rRNA from 1 species
GAUGAACGCUGGCGGCGUGCCUAACACAUGCAAGUCGAACGAAGUUAUUUUGGAAAGUCCUUCGGGGCUGGAAUCUGUAACUUAGUGGCGGACGGGUGAGUAACGCGUGAGUAAUCUGCCUUUAGGUGGGGGACAACAGUUGGAAACGACUGCUAAUACCGCAUAAUGCAUACGGAGUGGCAUCACUCUUGUGCCAAAGGAGCAAUCCGCCUUUAGAUGAACUCGCGUCCCAUUAGCUAGUUGGGGAGGGUAAUGGCCCACCAAGGCGACGAUGGGUAGCCGGACUGAGAGGUUGAACGGCCACAUUGGGACUGAGACACGGCCCAGACUCCUACGGGAGGCAGCAGUGGGGAAUAUUGCGCAAUGGGGGAAACCCUGACGCAGCAACGCCGCGUGAUUGAAGAAGGCCUUCGGGUUGUAAAGAUCUUUAAUCGGGGACGAAAAAAUGACGGUACCCGAAGAAUAAGCUCCGGCUAACUACGUGCCAGCCGCCGCGGUAAAAC